GGAAUUUUUAAAGCUGUCCAUGUGAUUCCACUCUGCAGUCCCAGCUCAGAAUUCUGCUCCAGGAUCUCUGCAGACCUUGGGAAGAAGGGCUGAAGGAAGCCUUGCCCAGCAUUGUGCUCUGGGGGCCAGUGACCGGGCAGCACGUCUGGGGGCUCACCUCCAUCCCCCCUCACCUAACAACACUCUGUGCCGGGGUGCCUGGCCCACAUCUACAAAUGGGUCCACAGAGCAUGCCCCAGGAAACAGCAGUUGCUUCAGCUUGGGUGCUGAGUGAAGAGUCCUGUGAAGCCAACUGGAAGUCUCUCCACAGCCUGGAGCAGAACUGCAGCUCACCCAUCUGCCCUCAUGCACGUGACCAAGAGGUGAUGCUGAAGCUGCAGCUCUGGAGACCUCACUCGGAGAACCACCGCCCUACAGGAAGCAAAGCCCAGAGAAUUCUUCCUGCUCUGAUAACCUGGCGAUUAAAUAGGAUCCACCGAAUGUGGCAUUUGACUUGCCAUUUCUUACGAAGAAAUUGGCUGUGACAUGGGGGCAGUUUGUGUUUCUGGAGGAACUAGUCUCUGACUGAAGCAUUAAGAGGACCUGGACAAAGCCUGAGGCAGAAAGCCUCUUGGUAAGCUAAAGCACAUGUGUAU
rnacentral:lncRNA from 1 species